CGAACUUGUAUGUCCGUGUGUUUGUUUGUGCAGGUGCUGUGUUUUUGUCUAUGUUAAUUUAGCUGUGCCAGGUCCCUGUUCCGAUUGGUGCGUGGACUUACUGCCCCGGCGUGAUUGGAUCCAGCUGGAGGACCCGCCCAAUAAAAGGAGGCUGGAGCGCUACAGUGGGAGAGGUCCUCGCAUUUCUCCUCAUCACCCAGCAGUAGUCCUGUGGUAGCCGCUGGCUGCAGUAUACGUGCGAAAAUUGUGGAAGUGGAGUGGGUAGGGGUGAGCUGCCGUUUAUUUUGAUCACCCGUUUUCCCCUGUUUUUGAGUUGGUUAAGGAGGUCAGACUCUGUCUUUAUUUUGACUUUAUUUUGGUGAGGUCAGGGGUGCGGGAUUUGUGUAGGUUUGUUUUGUUUAUUGUUUUGGCCUUGGCUCACCCUGAAGUGUUGACACUCCCGUUUUGGUUCUCUUUAUUCACCUUGUAAAUAAAUCACUUCACAUCUAACGGAUUUGUUGCGUGUGACUGCUUGGGUCUUGGGGAGGGAAGCGAGUGCCUCGCUCAUGUUAUGGCCUGGCCCUAGACGGGUCGUAACACCUUCUUGCUGGUUAGUUUCAUAUUCUGGUUUAUAUUUUGUUUAUUGUUGUUUUAUAUGUUUUGUUUUAUAUUUUGUUUUCCAUGAUUUUCCUCUCUGGUUUGGUUGUUUUAUUGAUAAUUUGUCAUCGCAGCUGAUGUUAAUUCCCUGAGUUUCAGAUUUCCUGCCCUCUUGUGUUUCCAGUGUCUGUGUUUCUCUGUUAGAUGUUAGUUACCUUUUUAUUUUGAUAGUCUCUCCUUUUGUGAGUUUCACUUGUGUUUUCCUUUUUUUUCGCAUCUCCGAUUAGUCUUGUGUUUUUAAAUCCUCCCUCUGUUGUGCUCUUUGUCGUGUUGUAUUGUUGGUACUCGGUUCUUCUCCUCUCGUGUGUCUUCAUGUUUGGAUUUUUUUACUAGAUUUCAAAAAUAAAGAUCUGUUUAUUUCACGAGUCUACAUCUGGAUCCGCCGCCACACAUAAUACAACAAUUCUUAAUGUCAGUAACUCAACAAAAAAUAAAAAGGCUUUGUUAAAUGUUCCUGAAUAUUUAUUUCAACAUUACGAAAAAACCUCAAAAGUUAAUUUAAAGACAUGGCAGAUUUUCAGUUAACACGCCAACAUUUCCACACAAUGGAUGAAACAUUACAUUUUAAUUCAUCUCGUCACCUCUGAUGGCAACUCUUUAACUGACCCACAUUCGCACAGUGCUGCCGUUCACACAUCAAAAAUAAAGUUCUGCUUACUUCAACUGAACCUCAGAUUUUCAGAUUUAUUCAAAGAAAAUAGACAAAAAUAUGCACACGUGGAAUUUACUGUACAGAUAAAUAGUCUUCACAGUGUGCAUUUCAGAAUCUUUCUGUAUAGUGAUGACAUAU
ensembl:lncRNA